rnacentral:rRNA from 1 species
GACGAACGCUGGCGGCGUGCUUAACACAUGCAAGUCGUACGGUAAGGCCCUUUCGGGGGUACACGAGUGGCGAACGGGUGCGUAACACGUGAGUAACCUGCCCACAACUUUGGGAUAACGCUAGGAAACUGGUGCUAAUACUGGAUAUGUGCUCCUGCUGCAUGGUGGGGGUUGGAAAGCUCCGGCGGGUGUGGAUGGACUCGCGGCCUAUCAGCUUGUUGGUGGGGUAGUGGCCUACCAAGGCGGCGACGGGUAGCCGGACUGUGAGGGUGACCGGCGACAUUGGGACUGAGGGACGGCCCAGACUCCGACGGGAGGCAGCAGGGGGGAAGAUUGCACAAUGGGCGCAAGCCUGAUGCAGCAACGCCGCGUGCGGGAUGACGGCCUUCGGGUUGUAAACCGCUUUCAGCAGGGACGAAGCUUUUUGUGACGGUACCUGCAGAAGAAGCACCGGCUAACUACGUG